rnacentral:rRNA from 1 species
GCGGUGGAGCAUGUGGUUUAAUUCGAAGCUACGCGAAGAACCUUACCAGGUCUUGACAUACUAUGCAAAUCUAAGAGAUUAGACGUUCCCUUCGGGGACAUGGAUACAGGUGGUGCAUGGUUGUCGUCAGCUCGUGUCGUGAGAUGUUGGGUUAAGUCCCGCAACGAGCGCAACCCUUAUUAUCAGUUGCCAGCAUUAAGUUGGGCACUCUGGUGAGACUGCCGGUGACAAACCGGAGGAAGGUGGGGAUGACGUCAAAUCAUCAUGCCCCUUAUGACCUGGGCUACACACGUGCUACAAUGGAUGGUACAACGAGUUGCGAACUCGCGAGAGUAAGCUAAUCUCUUAAAGCCAUUCUCAGUUCGGAUUGUAGGCUGCAACUCGCCUACAUGAAGUCGGAAUCGCUAGUAAUCGCGGAUCAGCAUGCCGCGGUGAAUACGUUCCCGGGCCUUGUACACACCGCCCGUCACACCAUGAGAGUUUGUAACACCCAAAGUCGGU